UGAGGAAUAUUGGUCAAUGGGCGCGAGCCUGAACCAGCCAAGUAGCGUGAAGGAUGAAGGUCCUAUGGAUUGUAAACUUCUUUUAUACGGGAAUAAAGUGGUCCACGUGUGGGCUUUUGCAUGUACCGUAUGAAUAAGGAUCGGCUAACUCCGUGCCAGCAGCCGCGGUAAUACGGAGGAUCCGAGCGUUAUCCGGAUUUAUUGGGUUUAAAGGGAGCGUAGAUGGGUUGUUAAGUCAGUUGUGAAAGUUUGCGGCUCAACCGUAAAAUUGCAAUUGAUACUGGCAGUCUUGAGUACAGUUGAGGUAGGCGGAAUUCGUGGUGUAGCGGUGAAAUGCUUAGAUAUCACGAAGAACUCCGAUUGCGAAGGCAGCUUACUAACCUGUAACUGACAUUGAUGCUCGAAAGUGUGGGUAUCAAACAGGAUUAGAUACCCUGGUAGUCCACACGGUAAACGAUGAAUACUCGCUGUAGGCGAUAUACAGUCUGCGGCCAAGCGAAAGCAUUAAGUAUUCCACCUGGGGAGUACGCCGGCAACGGUGAAACUCAAAGGAAUUGACGGGGGCCCGCACAAGCGGAGGAACAUGUGGUUUAAUUCGAUGAUACGCGAGGAACCUUACCCGGGCUUAAAUUGCAACCGAAUAUGGCGGAAACGCUAUAGCUAGCAAUAGCGGUUGUGAAGGUGCUGCAUGGUUGUCGUCAGCUCGUGCCGUGAGGUGUCGGCUUAAGUGCCAUAACGAGCGCAACCCUUGCCGAUAGUUACUAACAGGUUAUGCUGAGGACUCUGUCGGGACUGCCAUCGUAAGAUGUGAGGAAGGUGGGGAUGACGUCAAAUCAGCACGGCCCUUACGUCCGGGGCUACACACGUGUUACAAUGGGGGGUACAGAGGGCUGCUACCACGCAAGUGGAUGCCAAUCCCAAAAACCUCUCUCAGUUCGGAUUGAAGUCUGCAACCCGACUUCAUGAAGCUGGAUUCGCUAGUAAUCGCGCAUCAGCCACGGCGCGGUGAAUACGUUCCC
rnacentral:rRNA from 1 species